AGAGUUUGAUCCUGGCUCAGAACGAACGCUGGCGGCGUGCCUAAUACAUGCAAGUCGUGCGAGAAAGUCCUGCUUGCAGGACGAGUAGAGCGGCGAACGGGUGAGUAACACGUAAGUAACCUGCCUCUGAAUUUGGGAUAACCUUGCUAAAGCGGGGCUAAUACCGGAUGUGGUCCUAAUCUCUCAUGUGAUUAGGAUUAAAGGUGACCUCUUCUUGAAAGUUACUGUUUAGAGAUGGACUUGCGGACCAUUAGCUUGUUGGUGGGGUAACGGCCUACCAAGGCGACGAUGGUUAGCCGACCUGAGAGGGUGAUCGGCCACAUUGGGACUGAGAUACGGCCCAGACUCCUACGGGAGGCAGCAGUAGGGAAUUUUGCGCAAUGGACGAAAGUCUGACGCAGCAACGCCGCGUGAGGGAUGACGGCCUUCGGGUUGUAAACCUCUGUUGGGUGGGACGAAACCUCCUAUGGUUAAUACCCAUAGGAACUGACGGUACCAUUCGAGGAAGCUCCGGCUAACUACGUGCCAGCAGCCGCGGUAAUACGUAGGGAGCUAGCGUUGUUCGGAAUCACUGGGCGUAAAGGGAGUGUAGGCGGAUUAGUAAGUUAGGAGUAAAAUCCACAGGCUCAACCUGUGUUCUGCUUUUAAUACUGUUAAUCUUGAGUACGGGAGAGGGUAACGGAAUUCCAGGUGUAGCGGUGGAAUGCGUAGAUAUCUGGAAGAACACCAGUAGCGAAGGCGGUUACCUGGCCUAGUACUGACGCUGAGGCUCGAAAGCUAGGGGAGCGAACAGGAUUAGAUACCCUGGUAGUCCUAGCCGUAAACGAUGGAUACUAGUUGCUGGAAGAGUCAAUCCUUUUAGUGACGAAGCUAACGCAUUAAGUAUCCCGCCUGGGGAGUACGCUCGCAAGGGUGAAACUCAAAGGAAUUGACGGGGGCCCGCACAAGCGGUGGAGCAUGUGCUUUAAUUCGAUGCAACGCGAAGAACCUUACCUGGGUUUGACAUGGGUAUGAAAGUUCUCAGAGAUGAGAGCCUUUCCUUCGGGAACAUACUACACAGGUGCUGCAUGGUUGUCGUCAGCUCGUGUCGUGAGAUGUUGGGUUAAGUCCCGCAACGAGCGCAACCCCUACCCUUAGUUGCCAUCGGGUAAUGCCGGGAACUCUAGGGGGACUGCCUGGUAUAACCAGGAGGAAGGUGGGGAUGACGUCAAAUCCUCAUGGCCCUUACGCCCAGGGCUAGACACGUGCUACAAUGGCAGGUACAGUGGGAUGCGAGACUGCGAGGUUAAGCUAAUCCCUUAAAACCUGUCUCAGUUCGGAUUGGAGUCUGCAACUCGACUCCAUGAAGUUGGAAUCGCUAGUAAUCGCGGAUCAGCAUGCCGCGGUGAAUACGUUCCCGGGCCUUGUACACACCGCCCGUCAAGCCAUGAAAGACGGGAGUGCCCGAAGUCGCUCCUCUAACCCGCAAGGGAAGAGUGCGCCGAAGGUAAGACCGUUGAUUGGGGCUAAGUCGUAACAAGGUA
rnacentral:rRNA from 1 species